GCGCAUGCACCAUGAUUGAGUACUAUAAUACAUACAUUCCUUUUUUUAAAUUUUUUUUCAGUUGUAGUUGGACACAUGCCUUUAUUUUACUAAUUUUUAUGAGGACCAAACUCAGUACCUCGCACGUGCUAGACAAGCGCUCUACCACUGAGCCAAAACCCCAGCCCCCGCUUUUUAUAUUUCUAUGUCAGAGGACCCUCAUAGCAAGUUAUGAAAUAUGUAACACACCCUUAUCUGUUCUCAUUUAUAACUACCACAGCUCUUUCAUAUGCAGAUAUUCACUGUACUCGUGUGUAUUCAUGUGUCAGUGUUCAGGGAUUUAGGACAGCUUUUUUUACUCCCUAUUUUUUUCCAACUCAAUCAGUAUUAUUAAGUUGAGAUUUUGCCCCAAAUCCCAGUUUAUAUCUAUGGUGAGCACUGUGGAUCUCUUUACCCAUGUUCUGUUGGCCAAGAGUCCCUGUGGCCAUUCAGUUAUUCCGCCCGGGGUCCAGACCUGAGUCUCUGACCUUUCAUGAGCAUUGAAAAGAAGUCCUUUCCCAAGCCAGGCUAUUGGCAUUAGAGAACAGGUGCCACAGAAUAGAGCAGAUUGUCA
rnacentral:lncRNA from 1 species